GAUGUCACAUAUUGUACACUGUAAAAAAAUAAAUAGUUGAGAAAACAUAAAAUAAUAAGGCAACUUGAUGCAGUAAGACUUUUGAGUUCUCUCAACAAUAGAUUUUUAGUCCUGCUCAGUAAAGAUACUUUGUUUAGACAAUGUAAACUUGUUUGUUCAUGCAAUGUUGA